CCUACGGGAGGCAGCAGUGGGGAAUCUUGCGCAAUGGGCGAAAGCCUGACGCAGCCAUGCCGCGUGAAUGAUGAAGGUCUUAGGAUUGUAAAAUUCUUUCACCGGGGACGAUAAUGACGGUACCCGGAGAAGAAGCCCCGGCUAACUUCGUGCCAGCAGCCGCGGUAAUACGAAGGGGGCUAGCGUUGCUCGGAAUUACUGGGCGUAAAGGGAGCGUAGGCGGAUAGUUUAGUCAGAGGUGAAAGCCCAGGGCUCAACCUUGGAAUUGCCUUUGAUACUGGCUAUCUUGAGUUUGGGAGAGGUGAGUGGAACUCCGAGUGUAGAGGUGAAAUUCGUAGAUAUUCGGAAGAACACCAGUGGCGAAGGCGACUCACUGGCCCAAUACUGACGCUGAGGCUCGAAAGCGUGGGGAGCAAACAGGAUUAGAUACCCUGGUAGUCCACGCCGUAAACGAUGAGUGCUAGUUGUCGGCAUGCAUGCAUGUCGGUGACGCAGCUAACGCAUUAAGCACUCCGCCUGGGGAGUACGGUCGCAGAUUAAAACCUUAAAGGAAUUGACGG
rnacentral:rRNA from 1 species